rnacentral:rRNA from 1 species
GCCAAUGCAUGCUUUUACAGUAUGAAAAUUGGUGAUUUAUAAUAACUUAGCAAAUCGCAAAGUGAAAACAGGCGAUAAAUCAUUCAAGUUUCUGACCUAUCAGCUUUCGACGGUAUGGUAUUGGCUUACCGUGGCAGUGACGGUUAACGGGGGAUUAGGGUUCGAUUCCGGAGAGGGAGCCUGAGAAACGGCUACCACAUCUAAGGAAGGCAGCAGGCGCGCAAAUUACCCAAUUCUAACAGUUUGAGAGAGGUAGUAACAAGAAAUAACAAUACAAGGCAGUUAAAAUGCUUUGUAAUUGGAAUGAUAGAAAUUUAAACCCUUUUUAAAGUAUCAAUUGGAGGGCAAGUCUGGUGCCAGCAGCCGCGGUAAUUCCAGCUCCAAUAGCGUAUAUUAAAAUUGUUGCAGUUAAAAAGCUCGUAGUUGAAGUUCUGCUAAAAGUAACCGGUCUGCUUUUAAUAAAGGUGGUAUCUUGGUGUGUAUUUAGCAAUGAUGUCCUUUGAAGUGUUUUUUACUUUAUUGUAAUAAAGCAUAUUCAGGACUUUUACUUUGAGAAAAUUAGAGUGUUUCUAGCAGGCUAACGCUUUGAAUACUGCAG